rnacentral:rRNA from 1 species
AACGAACGCUGGCGGCAUGCCUAACACAUGCAAGUCGAACGAGAUCUUCGGGUCUAGUGGCGCACGGGUGCGUAACGCGUGGGAAUCUGCCCUUUGGUUCGGAAUAACAGUUGGAAACGACUGCUAAUACCGGAUGAUGACGAAAGUCCAAAGAUUUAUCGCCAGAGGAUGAGCCCGCGUAGGAUUAGCUAGUUGGUGUGGUAAAGGCGCACCAAGGCGACGAUCCUUAGCUGGUCUGAGAGUAUGAUCAGCCACACUGGGACUGAGGCACGGCCCAGACUCCUACGGGAGGCAGCAGUGGGGAAUAUUGGAUAAUGGGCGAAAGCCUGAUCCAGCAAUGCCGCGUGAGUGAUGAAGGCCUUAGGGUUGUAAAGCUCUUUUACCCGGGAUGAUAAUGACAGUACCGGGAGAAUAAGCUCCGGCUAACUCCGUGCCAGCCGCCGCGGUAA